AAGUAGUGCAAGAUAAACAGACAUGUUUUUACAGAAAUAACGAUUUAGAUAUUUUUUCCUUAUGUGCACCUACCCAUACAUAAUAUUGACACAUUACAGCUUUAUUUCAAUUCAACGCGAUUUGUGCGUAACUGUUUCUCCCUCGUACCAAAUAUGAGAUAAUAAUAAGUAACUUUAAAGAGUAUAGGCAGUACAGUUACUCUAAAGAAAUUCCACACACUUUCCGUACAGUUUCGCAAGUACACGUGCGAUUUCGAAAUUAAUUACAUUCUUCAGUAGAAAACGUUUAGUUUUUGAGUCGUGGGUAUAUACAUU